rnacentral:rRNA from 1 species
UGGGGAAUCUUCCGCAAUGGACGAAAGUCUGACGGAGCAACGCCGCGUGAGUGAAGAAGGUUUUCGGAUCGUAAAACUCUGUCUUUUGGGGCGAACGUGAGUAUGGUGAAUAAUCAUAGUCAGUGACGGUACCAAAGGAGGAAGCCACGGCUAACUACGUGCCAGCAGCCGCGGUAAUACGUAGGUGGCAAGCGUUGUCCGGAAUUAUUGGGCGUAAAGAGCGCGUAGGCGGGAUAGUCAGUCUGUUGUAAAAGUGCGGGGCUCAACCCCGUGAUCGCAAUGGAAACAGCUAUCCUUGAGUGCAGGAGAGGAAAGUGGAAUUCCCAGUGUAGCGGUGAAAUGCGUAGAUAUUGGGAGGAACACCAGUGGCGAAGGCGACUUUCUGGACUGUGUCUGACGCUGAGGCGCGAAAGCCAGGGGAGCGAACG